rnacentral:rRNA from 1 species
UACGGGGGGAGCAAGCGUUGUUCGGAUUUACUGGGCGUAAAGGGCGCGUAGGCGGCCACUGCAAGUCAGUUGUGAAAUCUCCGGGCUUAACUCGGAAAGGUCAACUGAUACUGCAGGGCUAGAGUGCGGAAGGGGCAACUGGAAUUCUCGGUGUAGCGGUGAAAUGCGUAGAUAUCGGGAGGAACACCAGUGGCGAAGGCGGCCUUCUGGGCUGUCCCUGACACUGAGGCGCGAAAGCGUGGGGAGCAAACCGG